CUGAUAUAUCUGAAUAUGUUGAAAAAAUAUACUGCCACUAUUUUCACCACCAAAGAAUAUCAGUGUGAUUUUAAUAUGAUUUGACUCUUUGCAGGCUGUCAGGCUGUCUAGUCACAGAGGAAGGCUGUGCUUCUCUGGUCUCAGCUCUGAGGUCAAACCCCUCACACCUGAGAGAGCUGGACCUGAGCUACAAUCACCCAGGAGACUCAGGAGUCAGACUGCUCUCUGCUGGACUGGAGGAUCCACACUGCAGACUGGAGAAACUCAAUGUGGAACAUGGUGGAGAGAACAGAAUGAAACCUGGGCUUAGAAAAUAUGUCUGUGAUCUCACACUGGAUCUAAACACAGUAAACAGACUCCUCUCUCUGUCUGAGGAGAACAGAAAGGUGACAUGUAGGAGAGAGAAGCAGCCGUAUCCUGAUCACUCAGAGAGAUUUGAGGACUGGAAACAGGUGCUGUGUAGAGAGGGUCUGACUGGGUGCUGUUACUGGGAGGUAGAGUGGAGUGGGGGGGCUGGAAUAGGAGUGACAUAUAAAGGAAUCAACAGGAGAGGAGGGGGUGAUGACUGUUGGCUUGGAAGCAAUGACAAGUCCUGGAGUCUGUCCUGCUAUGACACCUGCUACAGAGCCUGGCACAAUAAUAAUCUCACUACCAUAGACGUCCACCCCUCCAGCUCCCACAGAGUAGGAGUGUAUCUGGACUGGCCAGCCGGAACUCUGUCCUUCUUUAGAGCCUCCUCUGACACACUGACCCACCUGAUCACAUUCCCCUCCACAUUCACUGAGCCCCUCUAUCCAGGGUUUAGGGUUGAUGAUGUUGACUCCUCAGUGUCCCUGUAAAUAUUAACCU